GGGAAUGUGGCUUAGUGGUAGAGUGCUUGCCUAACAUGCAUGAAGCCAUGGGAUUGAUUCCUCAUUACUA
rnacentral:tRNA from 1 species